rfam:Schistosoma curassoni strain Dakar, Senegal genome assembly, scaffold: SCTD_scaffold0002584
GUCCAACUGAUGAGUCGCGAAUGAGACGAAACGCGCGUCAAACUGGAU